GGCUCAGAUUGAACGCUGGCGGCAUGCCUUACACAUGCAAGUCGAACGGCAGCACGGAGCUUGCUCUGGUGGCGAGUGGCGAACGGGUGAGUAACAUAUCGGAACGUACCCUAGAGUGGGGGAUAACGUAGCGAAAGUUACGCUAAUACCGCAUACGAUCUAAGGAUGAAAGUGGGGGAUCGCAAGACCUCAUGCUCGUGGAGCGGCCGAUAUCUGAUUAGCUAGUUGGUAAGGUAAAAGCCUACCAAGGCAUCGAUCAGUAGCUGGUCUGAGAGGACGACCAGCCACACUGGAACUGAGACACGGUCCAGACUCCUACGGGAGGCAGCAGUGGGGAAUUUUGGACAAUGGGCGAAAGCCUGAUCCAGCAAUGCCGCGUGAGUGAAGAAGGCCUUCGGGUUGUAAAGCUCUUUUGUCAGGGAAGAAACGGUGAAAGCUAAUAUCUUUUGCUAAUGACGGUACCUGAAGAAUAAGCACCGGCUAACUACGUGCCAGCAGCCGCGGUAAUACGUAGGGUGCAAGCGUUAAUCGGAAUUACUGGGCGUAAAGCGUGCGCAGGCGGUUUUGUAAGUCUGAUGUGAAAUCCCCGGGC
rnacentral:rRNA from 1 species